CCUACGGGUGGCAGCAGUGAGGAAUAUUGGUCAAUGGGCGUAAGCCUGAACCAGCCAAGUCGCGUGAGGGAUGAAGGUUCUAUGGAUCGUAAACCUCUUUUAUAAGGGAAUAAAGUGUGGGACGUGUCCCGUUUUGUAUGUACCUUAUGAAUAAGGAUCGGCUAACUCCGUGCCAGCAGCCGCGGUAAUACGGAGGAUCCGAGCGUUAUCCGGAUUUAUUGGGUUUAAAGGGUGCGUAGGCGGCCUGUUAAGUCAGUUGUGAAAGUUUGCGGCUCAACCGUAGAAUUGCAGUUGAAACUGGGAGGCUUGAGUAUGUUAGAGGCAGGCGGAAUGCGUGGUGUAGCGGUGAAAUGCUUAGAUAUCACGAAGAAACCCGAUUGCGAAGGCAG
rnacentral:rRNA from 1 species